rnacentral:rRNA from 1 species
GACGAACGCUGGCGGCGUGCCUAAUACAAGCAAGUAGAACGCAGUUGCGAACGGGUGAGUAACGCGUAGGUAACUGCCUCAUAGCGGGGGAUAAAUAUUGGAAACGAUAGAUAAUAGCGGAUACUGUGCGAUGGACCUGCGGUGUAUUAUCUAGUUGGUUAGGUAAAGGCUGACCAAGGCGACGAUACAUAGCCUCCCUGAGAGGGUGUCAUGCUACACUGGGACUGUGACAAGGCCCUGAUUCCUACGGGAGGACGCAGUAGGGAAUCUUCGCCAAUUGACGGAAGUCUGACCGAGCAUCGCCGCGUGAGUGAGGAGGGUUUUCGGAUCGUAAAGCUCUGUUGUUAGAGAAGCGGUAACUAACCAGAAAGGGACGGCUAACUACGUGCCAGCAGCCGCGGUAAUAC